rnacentral:rRNA from 1 species
GAUGAACGCUGGCGGCGUGCCUAAUACAUGCAAGUCGAGCGAACGGACGAGAAGUUUGCUUCUCUGAUGUUAGCGGCGGACGGGUGAGUAACACGUGGAUAACCUACCUAUAAGACUGGGAUAACUUCGGGAAACCGGAGCUAAUACCGGAUAAUAUUUUGAACCGCAUGGUUCAAAAGUGAAAGACGGUCUUGCUGUCACUUAUAGAUGGAUCCGCGCUGCAUUAGCUAGUUGGUAAGGUAACGGCUUACCAAGGCAACGAUGCAUAGCCGACCUGAGAGGGUGAUCGGCCACACUGGAACUGAGACACGGUCCAGACUCCUACGGGAGGCAGCAGUAGGGAAUCUUCCGCAAUGGGCGAAAGCCUGACGGAGCAACGCCGCGUGAGUGAUGAAGGUCUUCGGAUCGUAAAACUCUGUUAUUAGGGAAGAACAUAUGUGUAAGUAACUGUGCACAUCUUGACGGUACCUAAUCAGAAAGCCACGGCUAACUACGUGCCAGCAGCCGCGGUAAUACGUAGGUGGCAAGCGUUAUCCGGAAUUAUUGGGCGUAAAGCGCGCGUAGGCGGUUUUUUAAGUCUGAUGUGAAAGCCCACGGCUCAACCGUGGAGGGUCAUUGGAAACUGGAAAACUUGAGUGCAGAAGAGGAAAGUGGAAUUCCAUGUGUAGCGGUGAAAUGCGCAGAGAUAUGGAGGAACACCAGUGGCGAAGGCGACUUUCUGGUCUGUAACUGACGCUGAUGUGCGAAAGCGUGGGGAUCAAACAGGAUUAGAUACCCUGGUAGUCCACGCCGUAAACGAUGAGUGCUAAGUGUUAGGGGGUUUCCGCCCCUUAGUGCUGCAGCUAACGCAUUAAGCACUCCGCCUGGGGAGUACGACCGCAAGGUUGAAACUCAAAGGAAUUGACGGGGACCCGCACAAGCGGUGGAGCAUGUGGUUUAAUUCGAAGCAACGCGAAGAACCUUACCAAAUCUUGACAUCCUUUGACAACUCUAGAGAUAGAGCUUUCCCCUUCGGGGGACAAAGUGACAGGUGGUGCAUGGUUGUCGUCAGCUCGUGUCGUGAGAUGUUGGGUUAAGUCCCGCAACGAGCGCAACCCUUAAGCUUAGUUGCCAUCAUUAAGUUGGGCACUCUAAGUUGACUGCCGGUGACAAACCGGAGGAAGGUGGGGAUGACGUCAAAUCAUCAUGCCCCUUAUGAUUUGGGCUACACACGUGCUACAAUGGACAAUACAAAGGGCAGCGAAACCGCGAGGUCAAGCAAAUCCCAUAAAGUUGUUCUCAGUUCGGAUUGUAGUCUGCAACUCGACUACAUGAAGCUGGAAUCGCUAGUAAUCGUAGAUCAGCAUGCUACGGUGAAUACGUUCCCGGGUCU